rnacentral:rRNA from 1 species
AGCAGCCGCGGUAAUUCCAGCUCCAAUAGCGUAUAUUAAAGUUGUUGCAGUUAAAAAGCUCGUAGUUGAAUUUCGGGAUCAAAUCGUUGGUCGUGCCUCGGUACGUACUGGCAUUAUUGAUUUCUCCCUUCUGAAGAACCACGAUGUCAUUAAUUUGGUGUCGUGGGGAAUCAGGACUGUUACUUUGAAAAAAAUUAGAGUGUUUAAAGCAGGCUCACGCUUGAAUACAUUAGCAUGGGAUAGUGAAAUAGGACGUUUGAUUCUAUUUUGUUGGUUUCUAGGAUCGACGUAAUGAUUAAUAGGGAUAGUUUGGGGGCAUUAGUAUUCAAUUGUCAGAGGUGAAAUUCUUGGAUUUAUUGAAGACUAACUACUGCGAAAAGCAUUUGCCAAGGAUGUUUUCAUUAAUCAAGAACG